rnacentral:lncRNA from 1 species
AAAACUGUUAUGGAUCUGGUGAGAAGAUGGAAACAAGGAAAAGGUUUCUAGUUCAAAAACUGAUUGAAUUAAUAUAAGGAAUGAUUUAGAUAAUAGAGGCGAAGGGAACCAAUCAAAAUAACUGAAGUAUUGACCAGAAGAAAGACGGAAAAAAUAUUGACUGAGAUGGAAAAAAUGAAGAUAUCUUGACACGGUAGAAGUACAAAGGGUAGAUAUGGAACCAAACAAAGACAACAGCAGGCCACAACAAGAUUGGGAAUGGAGAGAAACUAAUUAACAAAGACUGGAGAUUACAACAAAACAGAUGCCGAGAGAAAACUUGAUCCAGUGAAAUUCAAGAGAGUUGACAGCAAAAGGGAGCAAAGAUUAAUAACAAAACAACAGUGACUACAAUGGACAAAAGCAUAUGCGUUUCUUGAUUGAGAAUGAGUGCAAAGAAUGACCUUUUAAGGAGGUUCUGAAGCUGAAGAAUAUAUGAUUUGCUAAAAUUUCAAGAAUGAUAUAAACUCUGUAACUUUAACAAGUGAAGAAUAAAAGAAUAAUGGUUUGUCAUCCUCACAAUGAAGAUCAUCGACGAGAUUAAAAGCUGAAAGUGACCCAUUUGAAAAGCCAAAGUUCAAGUUCCUUGGCUAAGUUCGUAAGUGAAGCAAAGAAUAAUAAAUAAAUAAAGAUCAAGGGAUGGGAAUAAAGUCAUCUUCAGAAAGUUGCAGAAAGAUUUCUGCCGACAUUGUCAAAAUUAUUAUUUGGUAAACCUGAUGUAUUAUUAGUAUAAAACAGAGUAGGUGAAACACGUACUUACUACUUAGUUCAAGUUCCUUGGCUAAGUUCGUAAGUGAAGCAAAGAAUAAUAAAUAAAUAAAGAUCAAGGGAUGGGAAUAAAGUCAUCUUCAGAAAGUUGCAGAAAGAUUUCUGCCGACAUUGUCAAAAUUAUUAUUUGGUAAACCUGAUGUAUUAUUAGUAUAAAACAGAGUAGGUGAAACACGUACUUACUACUUAGAC